CAACCUGCCCACCACUUGGGGAUAACCUUGCGAAAGUAAGACUAAUACCCAAUGAUAUCUCUAGAAGACAUCUGAAAGAGAUUAAAGAUUUAUCGGUGAUGGAUGGGGAUGCGUCUGAUUAGCUUGUUGGCGGGGUAACGGCCCACCAAGGCAACGAUCAGUAGGGGUUCUGAGAGGAAGGUCCCCCACAUUGGAACUGAGACACGGUCCAAACUCCCACGGGAGGCAGCAGUGAGGAAUAUUGGUCAAUGGACGAGAGUCUGAACCAGCCAAGUAGCGUGCAGGAUGACGGCCCUAUGGGUUGUAAACUGCUUUUAUAAGGGAAUAAAGUGAGUCUCGUGAGACUUUUUGCAUGUACCUUAUGAAUAAGGACCGGCUAAUUCCGUGCCAGCAGCCGCGGUAAUACGGAAGGUCCGGGUGUUAUCCGGAUUUAUUGGGUUUAAAGGGAGCGUAGGCCGGAGAUUAAGCGUGUUGUGAAAUGUAGACGCUCAACGUCUGCAAUGCAGCGCGAACUGGUUUCCUUGAGUACGCACAAAGUGGGCGGAAUUCGUGGUGUAGCGGUGAAAUGCUUAGAUAUCACGAAGAACUCCGAUUG
rnacentral:rRNA from 1 species